GCGGGUUUAGCUCAGUUGGGAGAGCGUCAGACUGAAGAUUCACUUCAUUCCAUCAACAACGUGAAGGUCAUGUGUUCGAUCCACAUAAACCGCA